UAUUAACGCUGGCGGCGUGCCUAAUACAUGCAAGUCGAGCGAACAGACGAGGAGCUUGCUCCUCUGACGUUAGCGGCGGACGGGUGAGUAACACGUGGAUAACCUACCUAUAAGACUGGGAUAACUUCGGGAAACCGGAGCUAAUACCGGAUAAUAUAUUGAACCGCAUGGUUCAAUAGUGAAAGACGGUUUUGCUGUCACUUAUAGAUGGAUCCGCGCCGCAUUAGCUAGUUGGUAAGGUAACGGCUUACCAAGGCGACGAUGCGUAGCCGACCUGAGAGGGUGAUCGGCCACACUGGAACUGAGACACGGUCCAGACUCCUACGGGAGGCAGCAGUAGGGAAUCUUCCGCAAUGGGCGAAAGCCUGACGGAGCAACGCCGCGUGAGUGAUGAAGGUCUUCGGAUCGUAAAACUCUGUUAUUAGGGAAGAACAAAUGUGUAAGUAACUAUGCACGUCUUGACGGUACCUAAUCAGAAAGCCACGGCUAACUACGUG
rnacentral:rRNA from 1 species